rnacentral:misc_RNA from 1 species
GAUGAAGAACGCAGCGAAAUGCGAUAAGUAAUGUGAAUUGCAGAAUUCAGUGAAUCAUCGAGUCUUUGAACGCACAUUGCGCCCCCUGGUAUUCCGGGGGGCAUGCCUGUCCGAGCGUCAUUGCCGCCCUCAAGCACGGCUUGUGUGUUGGGCCCCCGCCCCCCGGCUUCGGGGGGCGGGCCCGAAAGGCAGCGGCGGCACCGCGUCCGGUCCUCGAGCGUAUGGGGCUUCGUCACCCGCUCUGUAGGCCCGGCCGGCGCCCGCCGGCGACUCCAAUCAAUCUUUCCAGGUUGACCUCGGAUCAGGUAGGGAUACCCGCUGAACUUAAGCAUAUCAAUAAGCGGAGGA